rnacentral:lncRNA from 1 species
AUGAGACCUCUGUUGUCAACUCAGACCCACCUCUGUCGGGAAGACCCACGGAUGGCGGCUGCAGGUUACAUGCUGUUUUUGUGUGGCCAUGACUCUUAUUGUACACCGUGGAUCUGUUUUUGCAUCCUAGCCUCCUCUAGCAGACUGGGAGCAUCUAGCAAAGUAGGCCCUCAGAGUCUGUUGAACAAAUUAAUAAAUGUUUCCACCAUUUAAAACAGAACCACCUAGUCCUGUCUCGAAACCAAAGAUUUCAUAACUUCUCUUGGCCACUCAUUUACUUGAUCAUCUUGGCAACUGAGACAGUCUUUCUUACCUAUUAAUCAACAAAGAAGUAUAUUUUUUAUAUUCCUUAUGUCCUGACAUCUCUUUGGUCUUAUUUGAACCUUCUUUACUCUUGCGAAGCUAUCAUGCAGGUGUUACGAGUGUUCCCACACAGGACAGCAUUUGAAGCAGAGCAAUUCGCUGAGAGCAGGCAGGGUGUUAUAAAGACAAAUGAGACUCCGGCGACUUAAAGACCAUCGGCAAGAAAUCCUUUAGCCUUCUGGGGACUAAAACCUUCCGUUACUUUAUCUGUUGUGGGAAGGGUGUAUAACUUUCUGUUGGUUGUGUAUCAGAGCUCUUCACAAUGACCCCAAAUCUUUUUUCAAAUGUGAUUCAGACUGGACACAAUAACAAGUCUGACUAAUGCGAGUCUUAUUUUCUUAACCUUUUAUGUCAUACUCCUUUUAAUAUACUCAAGAAUCAUGUCUUUCACAACAGCCUUACAGUAUUGACCUAAAUUUAGCUGAUGGGCAAGAAGGGCACUUUUUUUUUUUUUUUUUAAAUAAGGUCUUUGUGUACUCAGCUAAGCUACCUUCUAUCUAUCCCCACCCAAAUUUCUCCUGCUCAAGUAGAACCAUUUCUCCAGUUUGUUACAACGGUUAUUAUUUAUACUGCUGGGGUUCAGAUGGUUUGUGGUCUGAUCUAAUUUGGUAACAUACAUAUGGAAAAAAAGAAAAGAGACUUCAUUACUUAGAAGGAAAACUCUCUCCAGUUGUUUAACACUGAAUCUUGAAGUAUCCACUGGAAUUCACCUUGUACUUUCCCAACACCCAAGGUUAGACGUCUGGGGCUUCUGGGCUGUUCGGUGGUUGUGAUAAUACUAAGGAUUCUCUUUGUUUGUUUAGUAUUAGUCACAUAUUUUCUCCACCCUUCCUCCUUUUCUCGGGCUUUG